AUACGGAGGGUGCAAGCGUUAUCCGGAUUCACUGGGUUUAAAGGGAGCGUAGGCGGGUAUGUAAGUCCGUGGUGAAAGCCCUCAGCUUAACUGAGGAACUGCCAUGGAUACUAUAUGUCUUGAAUGUCGUUGAGGUUUGCGGAAUAGGUCAUGUAGCGGUGAAAUGCUUAGAUAUGACCUGGAACACCUAUUGCGAAGGCAGCAGGCUAAACGAAUAUUGACGCUGAGGCUCGAAAGCGGUGGGGAUA
rnacentral:rRNA from 1 species